AACGAACGCUGGCGGCAGGCUUAACACAUGCAAGUCGAACGCCCCGCAAGGGGAGUGGCAGACGGGUGAGUAACGCGUGGGAAUCUACCGUGCCCUGCGGAAUAGCUCCGGGAAACUGGAAUUAAUACCGCAUACGCCCUACGGGGAAAGAUUUGUCGAGGUAUGAUGAGCCCGCGUUGGAUUAGCUAGUUGGUGGGUAA
rnacentral:rRNA from 1 species